rnacentral:tRNA from 2 species
GAGGAUAUAGCUCAGUGGUAGAGUGCAUGCUUAGCAUGCAUGAGGUCCUGGGUUCAAUCCCCAGUACCUUCA